rnacentral:rRNA from 1 species
CGAUAACGAACGAGACCUUAACCUGCUAAAUAGCCCGUAUUGCUUUGGCAGUACGCUGGCUUCUUAGAGGGACUAUCGGCUCAAGCCGAUGGAAGUUUGAGGCAAUAACAGGUCUGUGAUGCCCUUAGAUGUUCUGGGCGCACGCGCGCUAGACU